UUAAUAAUAAAGUAAAACUAUGACUGUUAGUAUGAAGAUGUUGCCACGACCCUCUGAGAAGAAGGAGGAAGUGUCAGAAAAAAAGCAGUUUCAGUUUAUGAGAAAUUGGCAAGAACAUUGACUGCCUUGAGGUCUCCAGCACCAAUCUCCACUGCUAAGAGCAUGAUCUGGCUGUUCCAGUCUCUCACCCUUGUCUUCUGCCUUGACCCAGGGAAUACAGUUUCACAAACCAGCUCAACCCCACUGAUUGUGAACGGGACCCUGGGGGAGUCAGUAACUCUACCCCUGAAGUUCCCUGAAGAAGAGAAGAUCAUGUCCAUCACCUGGCUUCACGAUGGAAAAUCUAUCAUCUUCAUACGGCCAAAUAAGGCACAAAGUCCACUAAUACACGUAACUGAUCCAAAACAGAGCAAUCGAUUGAACGUCACCAAGUCCUACUCUCUGCAACUCAGCAACCUGACAACGGCAGACACAGGAUCUUACACCGCCCAGAUAACCACAACCUCCGUAGUGUUUUACAGUUAUUAUCUGAGGAUCUUCAGACGGCUGGGGAACCUUCAGGUUGUCACUCUCACUGAAAGGUCUAGGAAUGAGACCUGUGUGAUCCACCUGACCUGCUCCGUGGAGGAUCCAAAUGAUAACGUCUCAUUCAGCUGGCAGGUCUCAGGAAGCAUGCUUCCAAGUGAAGCAAACCUCACCGUCUCCUGGGACCCCAAGAAUUUCAGAGACGAGACCUACAUGUGCAUAGCUGAGAAUCCUGUCAGCAAUGCCUCCUCCUCUGUCUCUGUCCAGAGCCUCUGCAAAGGUGUUAUUAAUGCAAAAAAUGUACUCCUGGACACCAGAUGGUUUAUAAUGGUGGUUCCUUUGAUAUGUAUAGUCAUCUUUGCCUGCUUGUGUGUUCGGAGGAAAAAAUUCGCAGGUUUCCUUUCUUCCUACUUGUUUCUUCUCCAAGAUUCCAGAGACGUAGAGUCUGGGGCCUCCAUAAGAUGCUGUCUGGGAGUUCCCAACAUGACUCAGCGAUGUCCUUCAUUUCCCUGCUCAGCAAACCCAAGGAGCUGGUGCAGAGACCGUGAGGAACUUAGACUAUGCUUCCUUCUCUCCCGGGAACACUGUCUAUGCUCAGGUCACCCAUGCAAAUCAGCAAACUUGAAGACAGCGACAAGAGCUACAGAGUUGUGUGUGAGAUCUUUCUGGACCCCACUGUUCUCACCCCUGUGGAAUGUUUACUCAUGCUCUGCCUUACAUCACUUAAUCUACCUACUUAAUGCAUCACAACAUAACAGGAUGGUCUUGGUCAGUCAUCUGGAACUCCUCAUCGUGCAUCAGUAAUUCCCCCAACAACCCCAAAAUAAAGCACCUGCAGGUGGUACAUUUCUAAAGAACAGUACACAUCCUGGGAGGUUAGUUUCCAUGUCUUCAGAAAAACAAGUCACGAGAGCCCAGCAUUCCUCAACUGCCAGAAGCACUCAUCUGGCUAGAAAUCUUGGAUUCCACCAGCAAAUCAACCCCUCCCCAGGUCCCUCGCAGGUAUUUGCAAGGUAGGCUCCUUGAAGAUAGCACAUAAGAAAAGGUACUCUCACUUCAUAUAUUUCAAUUGCCUUUCCAAUGUCCUCUUGAAGACCAGAUGAACCAUUGUCAGGAAACCAAGGGACUAAUCUCCAGCACAUUUACUUGUUUUAAAGCAAAACAUGAUACUCUGGCGAGUUUCAGAGGUUUGAGGAUACCCUAAAUAUUCCCUAAUUCAUUUUUUAAAAUGCCAAAAACUAUGGGCAUGGGGGGGGACUUCUGUUAUUGCUGGACUUUUAUUGUAAGGAGAGUCAUUCUUAAAGUAUUCCUACUCCACCAGUUCCCCAUGCUUGAGGAGACCCCAAUAACCUGAUGACCAGGCAAUUAGAAUCACAGGCAAUACCUCCAGUUAUAGGUAGCAAAGAUCUGAGACAAAAGUUGUCAUACAAUAACCAACUGGUGUGUGGAUUAGUUCUUCAAAAUGGAAGAAGGAGAGUAGAGUUGGACAUGGGACAAGAUUGUUUUCUUCCCUUCACACCACCUGCCAACAACGUCACCCUUCUGUCUUUCUCUGGUUCUUGAGCCCACCAGUUGACUGGAGUGUUGUGCUUCUGUUUGGGGCUCAGGAAAGGUGACUAAUCCUUCACAGAUAGAAGAGCUGGUGCUUGGUGUCCAGCUCCUCUUGCCAAUCACUCCCUAGCCUUCCUCCUGAAGAACCUUGACAUCAUUCCUCUUUUGUCACACUGCCUUUCCUGGGAAUGUAUGUACACAAGAGUCCAUGUCUCUGUGUGAACCAAAUGGGAAUGAUUGUUUUACAGGAAAGAGGAACCCUAACACGUUUGAAAAAUAAUGACUCCACCACAAUUUACACUGAAGUUCAUCAGUCUGGAGAGAAAGCCCUCUGAACCCAGGCCAGCUGCCCUCCACAAUGUCACGUAAGGUGCUAAAAGGCCUCCAAAGAAUUCAGGAACGACACAUCUUCUCCUGAUCCCAUGAGAAAGGACAGAGCUUGGUUUCUGCCUGGCAACAGAAUUUGAAUAUCUAGGAGUAUCGCUCCCACUCCUUCAGAUUUGAACCUACUUACUGAGGUCAAAUAUGUAGGGAAUAACAUCAUUUCCAGCAUAUGACCCAGAUAACAUUUUCUAAUCUGCUCCAGGACAUACAGCAGAAACCAUGCCCAGAUAUUGACUUUCUCUUUGGUAACUCAUCGAAUGGAGUCACGAUUGGCAGAGAGAUUACAAUUCAGAAGACAACCACCUCUGUCCUUUUAGAAAGCAGCAGGAUUGUGAUUCUCCUGGGAGAGAGUACUGUGUGUUGUUUACGUGUGUUUUCUCUGGAGUUAACCAGGCCCAUGUUCUCAUACAUCCUCGUGUGUCAUUUACUAGACACGCCUCAGGGGACAUGUUACUAACCUCUUGGAGCUCUGGUCUCCUAGACUGAAAAAGGAGGGUAGUAGUACAUCAGCCCUGUUACUCACACCGGGAACCAAGGUUUCAACUUCUCUAUAACCAAGCCCUUUGGACUCUACCUCCAACUAGUGGACCUCUCCACUUUUCUGCACAUCUUCAACCAAGUUGUAUAUACAGGCAGCAUCCUCACAACCUGGACUGCUACAAUAAGCGCCAAGCAACUCUCUACAACUUUUGCUCUUGGUUCCCUCCAAUCAAGGCUCUACGAUACAGCUAAAGUAAUAUUUUUAAUAUAAAUCGGAUCCUUGGAGUUCCUGUUGUGGCUCAGAGGUAAUGAACCUGACUAGUAUCCA